rnacentral:rRNA from 1 species
GUGGUCGACUCAUAGUAACUUAAUCGGAUCGCAUGGGCUUGUCCCGCGACAAACCAUUCAAGUUUCUGCCCCAUCAUGCUUUCGAUGGUAGUGUAUUGGACUACCAUGGCUUUCACGGGUAACGGAGGAUUAGGGUUCGAUUCCGGAGAGGGAGCCUGAGAAACGGCUACCACUUCCACGGAAGGCAGCAGGCGCGUAAAUUACCCAAUCCUGACUCAGGGAGGUAGUGACAAGAAAUAAUGGGUCGGGGUUCUGCCCCGGGACUGCAAUGAGACGAAUUUAGACCCCUUAUCGAGGACCAAUUGGAGGGCAAGUCUGGUGCCAGCAGCCGCGGUAAUUCCAGCUCCAAUAGCGUAUAUUAAAGUUGUUGCAGUUAAAAAGCUCGUAGUUGGAUUUCUGGUAGUGGGCAAGAGCUCGUUGCACGUUGCUCGCGUUCAUUGCCAUCCUUCUGUUAACCUAUCAGGGCAUUCUAUUGUCAGUUAGGGGCUCAGAUAUUUUACCUUGAGAAAAUUAGAGUGUUUCAGGCAGGCUUGUGCCCGGAUACAUUAGCAUGGAAUAAUGGAAUAGGACUUUAGCCUCUUCUGUUGGUCUGAGGGGUUGAAGUAAUGAUUAAUAGGGAUAGUUGGGGGCAUUAGUACUUAACUGUCAGAGGUGAAAUUCUCGGAUUUGUUAAAGACUAACUUAUGCGAAAGCAUUUGCCAAGGAUGUUUUCAUUAAUCAAGAACGAAAGUUAGGGGAUCAAAGACGAUCAGAUACCGUCCUAGUCUUAACCAUAAACUAUGCCGACUCGGGAUCGGGGGCCAGAGUUAACUGCCUUCGGCACCGUAUGAGAAAUCAAAGUCUUUGGGUUCUGGGGGGAGUAUGGUCGCAAGGCUGAAACUUAAAGGAAUUGACGGAAGGGCACCACCAGGCGUGGAGCUUGCGGCUCAAUUUGACUCAACACGGGGAAACUUACCAGGUCCAGACAUAGUGAGGAUUGACAGAUUGAUAGCUCUUUCUUGAUUCUGUGGGUGGUGGUGCAUGGCCGUUCUUAGUUGGUGGAGUGAUUUGUCUGGUUAAUUCCGUUAACGAACGAGACCUUAGCCUACUAAAUAGUCGCAACAAUUACGAUUGGCUGCGUCUUCUUAGAGGGACUUUGCAAGCAACUGCAAGGAAGUUUGAGGCAAUAACAGGUCUGUGAUGCCCUUAGAUGUCCUGGGCCGCACGCGUGCUACACUGACGCAUACAGCGAGUAUCACCAGCUCCGUGAGGCUGCUGGUAAUCAGCAAUAUGCGUCGUGCUGGGGAUAGAUCUUUGGAAUUUUUGAUCUUGAACGAGGAAUGCCUAGUAAGCGCAGGUCAUCAGCCUGCGUUGAUUAAGUCCCUGCCCUUUGUACACACCGCCCGUCGCUCCUACCGAUUUCGAGUGGUCCGGUGAACCCUUUGGACCGAGAGCGCCUCGUGAGCUUUUGGAAAGUCGA